rnacentral:tRNA from 1 species
UAAUAAGAAUUUAAAUAUUUAGUUUCGACCUAAAUUAAGGAUAUUCCCUUAUUAA